AUUGAACGCUGGCGGCAUGCCUUACACAUGCAAGUCGAACGGUAACAGGUCUUCGGAUGCUGACGAGUGGCGAACGGGUGAGUAAUACAUCGGAACGUGCCUAGUAGUGGGGGAUAACUACUCGAAAGAGUGGCUAAUACCGCAUGAGAUCUACGGAUGAAAGCAGGGGAUCGCAAGACCUUGUGCUACUAGAGCGGCCGAUGGCAGAUUAGGUAGUUGGUGGGAUAAAAGCUUACCAAGCCGACGAUCUGUAGCUGGUCUGAGAGGACGAUCAGCCACACUGGGACGUAGACACGGCCCAGACUCCUACGGGAGGCAGCAGUGGGGAAUUUUGGACAAUGGGCGCAAGCCUGAUCCAGCAAUGCCGCGUGCAGGAUGAAGGCCUUCGGGUUGUAAACUGCUUUUGUACGGAACGAAAAGCCCUGGGUUAAUACCCUGGGGUCAUGACGGUACCGUAAGAAUAAGCACCGGCUAACUACGUGCCAGCCGCCGCAGUAAGAC
rnacentral:rRNA from 1 species